GUGCUCGCUUCAGCAGCACAUAUAAUAAAAUUGGAACGAUACAGAGAAGAUUAGCAUGGCCCCUGCACAAGGAUGACACGCAAAUUCAUGAAGCAUUCCAUAUUAAA
rnacentral:snRNA from 1 species